AAAUUGAAGAGUUUGAUCAUGGCUCAGAUUGAACGCUGGCGGCAGGCCUAACACAUGCAAGUCGAACGGUAACAGGAAGCAGCUUGCUGUUUCGCUGACGAGUGGCGGACGGGUGAGUAAUGUCUGGGAAACUGCCUGAUGGAGGGGGAUAACUACUGGAAACGGUAGCUAAUACCGCAUAACGUCGCAAGACCAAAGAGGGGGACCUUCGGGCCUCUUGCCAUCGGAUGUGCCCAGAUGGGAUUAGCUAGUAGGUGGGGUAACGGCUCACCAAGGCGACGAUCCCUAGCUGGUCUGAGAGGAUGACCAGCCACACUGGAACUGAGACACGGUCCAGACUCCUACGGGAGGCAGCAGUGGGGAAUAUUGCACAAUGGGCGCAAGCCUGAUGCAGCCAUGCCGCGUGUAUGAAGAAGGCCUUCGGGUUGUAAAGUACUUUCAGCGGGGAGGAAGGGAGUAAAGUUAAUACCUUUGCUCAUUGACGUUACCCGCAGAAGAAGCACCGGCUAACUCCGUGCCAGCAGCCGCGGUAAUACGGAGGGUGCAAGCGUUAAUCGGAAUUACUGGGCGUAAAGCGCACGCAGGCGGUUUGUUAAGUCAGAUGUGAAAUCCCCGGGCUCAACCUGGGAACUGCAUCUGAUACUGGCAAGCUUGAGUCUCGUAGAGGGGGGUAGAAUUCCAGGUGUAGCGGUGAAAUGCGUAGAGAUCUGGAGGAAUACCGGUGGCGAAGGCGGCCCCCUGGACGAAGACUGACGCUCAGGUGCGAAAGCGUGGGGAGCAAACAGGAUUAGAUACCCUGGUAGUCCACGCCGUAAACGAUGUCGACUUGGAGGUUGUGCCCUUGAGGCGUGGCUUCCGGAGCUAACGCGUUAAGUCGACCGCCUGGGGAGUACGGCCGCAAGGUUAAAACUCAAAUGAAUUGACGGGGGCCCGCACAAGCGGUGGAGCAUGUGGUUUAAUUCGAUGCAACGCGAAGAACCUUACCUGGUCUUGACAUCCACGGAAGUUUUCAGAGAUGAGAAUGUGCCUUCGGGAACCGUGAGACAGGUGCUGCAUGGCUGUCGUCAGCUCGUGUUGUGAAAUGUUGGGUUAAGUCCCGCAACGAGCGCAACCCUUAUCCUUUGUUGCCAGCGGUCCGGCCGGGAACUCAAAGGAGACUGCCAGUGAUAAACUGGAGGAAGGUGGGGAUGACGUCAAGUCAUCAUGGCCCUUACGACCAGGGCUACACACGUGCUACAAUGGCGCAUACAAAGAGAAGCGACCUCGCGAGAGCAAGCGGACCUCAUAAAGUGCGUCGUAGUCCGGAUUGGAGUCUGCAACUCGACUCCAUGAAGUCGGAAUCGCUAGUAAUCGUGGAUCAGAAUGCCACGGUGAAUACGUUCCCGGGCCUUGUACACACCGCCCGUCACACCAUGGGAGUGGGUUGCAAAAGAAGUAGGUAGCUUAACCUUCGGGAGGGCGCUUACCACUUUGUGAUUCAUGACUGGGGUGAAGUCGUAACAAGGUAACCGUAGGGGAACCUGCGGUUGGAUCACCUCCUUA
rnacentral:rRNA from 1 species